rnacentral:misc_RNA from 1 species
CGAAGGUGGGGCUGAUGACUGGGGUGAAGUCGUAACAAGGUAGCCGUACCGGAAGGUGCGGCUGGAUCACCUCCUAACAGGGAGACAAAACUGAUUGUGAUGUCUGAUUAAAAUAUUUAGACCACGAUCCUGUCACCUUAGGUCGAUCGGUAUCUCAGCUUGAAGUCUAAAAAUAUGAGAAAUCAUUAUUUGAGGAUUUCAUUUUCAGUUCCUAAACUUGUCUAGGUCACACCCAACAUUCAUUCUUCUGGGCUAUUAGCUCAGGUGGUUAGAGCGCACCCCUGAUAAGGGUGAGGUCCCUGGUUCAAGUCCAGGAUGGCCCAUUCGUUGUUGGGGGUAUAGCUCAGUUGGUAGAGCGCCUGCUUUGCAAGCAGGAUGUCAGCGGUUCGAGUCCGCUUACCUCCACUGAUCAACUACCUAAUAACUCAUUAAAAACAAUGGAGAUUGUUUGUGUUGGAUAAGACUUAGAUGUUGUUCAUCUGAAUGACCCUAGCUUCAUGUCAUUCCUUGCUAUUCACUAAGUGAGGCUGAUAAGACGCUGGGCUCACUGAAUUUUCUUUUAGAGUUCAGUUUAGUUCAGUAGAACCUUGACAACUGCAUAGGAAAGUCUGGAAAAGAUAAAGCAUCUCAUGGAUGCAUUUAUUCUUGGCUGUUUAUUUAAUAGUUUAAGUUUAGAUGUUUGAUUCUUGAGCUAGAGCAAAGACAUUUGGAAUUAAAAGAUUGAUUAUCUUCUGAUAUUUCCUUCUAAUUAAUUUCAACUAGUCUGUAUUAAUAGAAUAGAAUAAUGGUCAAGCUACAAAGGGCUCACGGCGG